CGUCAUUCUUUCACUUAUUGAGUCUUCCAUAGGGACAGCCACCUUUAAAGAAUAUAAAUCAUUGAGCAACCUGUUUCACUAUAAACCACAGUUUCAGAGCCAUCUAUUGUAAAGAGAACUUCAAAAUGUCAAGGAGAAUUCACUACCUACAGAAUGAAGGAAAGACCAUGUGAGGACACAGUGAGGAGGCAGCCAUCUGCACGCCAGGAAGAAAGGCUUCCUUGCUUGAUCUUGGACUUCUGGCCUCCAGAAAUGAACUCACCUGGAGUGUCCAUGAAGGUCAUACUAUUGACAUACUUCUGAAAAAUAG
rnacentral:lncRNA from 1 species